rnacentral:rRNA from 1 species
ACGGACGAGGCCCCUUCGGGGACCGAGUUAGUGGCGAACGGGUGAGUAACGCGUGAGGAACCUGCCUUUCAGUGGGGGACAACAGUUGGAAACGACUGCUAAUACCGCAUGAAGCAUUUAGGGGGCAUCCCCUGAAUGCCAAAGAUUUAUUGCUGAAAGAUGGCCUCGCGUCUGAUCAGCUAGUUGGAGGGGUAACGGCCCACCAAGGCGACGAUCAGUAGCCGGUCUGAGAGGAUGAACGGCCACAUUGGGACUGAGAUACGGCCCAGACUCCUACGGGAGGCAGCAGUGGGGAAUAUUGGGCAAUGGGGGAAACCCUGACCCAGCAACGCCGCGUGAAGGAAGAAGGCUUUCGGGUUGUAAACUUCUUUUACCAGGGACGAAGAAAGUGACGGUACCUGGAGAAAAAGCCACGGCUAACUACGUGCCAGCAGCCGCGGUAAUACGUAGGUGGCAAGCGUUGUCCGGAUUUACUGGGUGUAAAGGGCGUGUAGGCGGAGAUUCAAGUCAGGAGUGAAAACUAUGGGCUUAACCCAUAAACUGCUUUUGAAACUGAAUCCCUUGAGUAUCGGAGAGGCAGGCGGAAUUCCUAGUGUAGCGGUGAAAUGCGUAGAUAUUAGGAGGAACACCAGUGGCGAAGGCGGCCUGCUGGACGACAACUGACGCUGA